GCCAUUACAACAAUUAACACGAACCAUGUCAGGUCAGAAAUGAAGCAGCAUUAAGUAUCUUAAUUGUGUGUAAUGGCUUUU
rnacentral:SRP_RNA from 18 species